UACGUAGGGUGCAAGCGUUGUCCGGAUUUAUUGGGCGUAAAGAGCUCGUAGGCGGCUCAGUAAGUCGGGUGUGAAACCUCCAGGCUCAACCUGGAGACGCCACCCGAUACUGCUGUGGCUUGAGUCCGGUAGGGGAGCGUGGAAUUCCUGGUGUAGCGGUGAAAUGCGCAGAUAUCAGGAGGAACACCAGCGGCGAAGGCGGCGCUCUGGGCCGGAACUGACGCUGAGGAGCGAAAGCGUGGGUAGCAAACAGG
rnacentral:rRNA from 1 species